rnacentral:rRNA from 1 species
GACAGAGGGGGCAAGCGUUGCUCGGAAUCACUGGGCGUAAAGGGCGCGUAGGCGGGCUGGCAAGUCGGUCGUGAAAUCCUUCGGCUCAACCGAAGAACGUCGGCCGAUACUGCCGUUCUUGAGGGAUGCAGAGGAGAUUGGAAUUCCCGGUGUAGCGGUGAAAUGUGUAGAGAUCGGGAGGAACACCGGUGGCGAAGGCGGGUCUCUGGGCAUCUCCUGACGCUGAGGCGCGAAAGCGUGGGGAGCGAACAGG